GAAUUUUGGACAAUGGGCGAAAGCCUGAUCCAGCAAUGCCGCGUGCAGGAUGAAGGGCUUCGGGUUGUAAACUGCUUUUGUACGGAACGAAAAGCUUUGGGUUAAUACCAUUGCGUCAUGAGUGUACCGUAAGAAUAACCCCCUGCAAACUACGUGACAGCAGCCGCGGUAAUACGUAGGGUGCAAGCGUUAAUCGGACUUACUGGGCGGAAAGCGUGCGCAGGCGGUGUUGUAAGACAGAGGUGAAAUCCCCGGGCUCAACCUGGUAACUGCCUUUGUGACUGCAAGGCUAGAGUACGGCAGAGGGGGGUGGAAUUCCGCGUGUAGCAGUGAAAUGCGUAGAUAUGCGGAGGAACACCGAUGGCGAAGGCAACCCCCUGGGCCUGUACUGACGCUCAUGCACGAAAGCGUGGGGAGCAAACAGG
rnacentral:rRNA from 1 species